rnacentral:rRNA from 1 species
GUUUGANNNNGGCUCAGGACGAACGCUGGCGGCGUGCUUAACACAUGCAAGUCGAACGAUGAACCACUUCGGUGGGGAUUAGUGGCGAACGGGUGAGUAACACGUGGGCAAUCUGCCCUUCACUCUGGGACAAGCCCUGGAAACGGGGUCUAAUACCGGAUAACACUGCGGAUCGCAUGGUCUGCGGUUAAAAGCUCCGGCGGUGAAGGAUGAGCCCGCGGCCUAUCAGCUUGUUGGUGAGGUAAUGGCUCACCAAGGCGACGACGGGUAGCCGGCCUGAGAGGGCGACCGGCCACACUGGGACUGAGACACGGCCCAGACUCCUACGGGAGGCAGCAGUGGGGAAUAUUGCACAAUGGGCGAAAGCCUGAUGCAGCGACGCCGCGUGAGGGAUGACGGCCUUCGGGUUGUAAACCUCUUUCAGCAG